CUGGUGGUGAACUGGUUGACGAUGUCCAGAGCCGUCUGGUUGUACGUGUUCCGGACAUGGGCAUUGAUUCCACUAUCCAGCAGGAGCCGCACCACGUCCGUCUUGCCACACAGGGCCGCCUCAUGCAGUGCUGUGCCUGCCUUGGUUUGCCGGUUGAUGUCGAUGCCAGCUUGCAGCAGGAGCCGGAUGAUGUCGAUGUGUCCAUUCUUGGCUGCCAGGUGCAGAG
rnacentral:lncRNA from 1 species